rnacentral:rRNA from 1 species
UACGAAGGGGGCUAGCGUUGCUCGGAAUCACUGGGCGUAAAGCGCACGUAGGCGGAUUGUUAAGUCAGGGGUGAAAGCCCGAGGCUCAACCUCGGAACUGCAUUCCAUACUGCGGUGCUUGAGGACUGGAGAGGAGACUGGAAUUUACGGUGUAGCAGUGAAAUGCGUAGAGAUCGUAAGGAAGACCAGUGGCGAAGGCGGGUCUCUGGACAGUUCCUGACACUGAGGCACGAAGGCCAGGGGAGCAAACGGG